AGUAAUGCUUGGGAAUCUGGCUUAUGGAGGGGGAUAACUACGGGAAACUGUAGCUAAUACCGCGUAGUGUCGAGAGACGAAAGUGCGGGACCGCAGGCCGCAUGCCAUGAGAUGAGCCCAAGUGGGAUUAGGUAGUUGGUGGGGUAAAGGCCUACCAAGCCUGCGAUCUCUAGCUGGUCUGAGAGGAUGGCCAGCCACACUGGAACUGAGACACGGUCCAG
rnacentral:rRNA from 1 species